rnacentral:RNase_P_RNA from 1 species
GGAGUUGGCCAGACAAUCGCUGUUUUUUGAAACAGAGGAAAGUCCGGGCUCCUUCGGACAGGGCGCCAGGUAACACCUGGGGGGCGCAAGCCCAUGGAAAGUGCCACAGAAAACAAACCGCCAGGCUCGCCUGGUAAGGGUGAAAAGGUGCGGUAAGAGCGCACCGCGCGACUGGUAACAGUUCGCGGCACGGUAAACCCCGCCCGGAGCAAGACCAAAUAGGGGAGUGCGCGGCUUAAUCGCCGCACCGCCGGUCCCGAGCGGACUCCCGGGUAGGUUGCUAGAGAUAGCCGGUGACGGCUAUCGCAGAUGAAUGAUUGUCCUCGACAGAACCCGGCUUAUUGCUAGCUCCGGCC